rnacentral:lncRNA from 1 species
CAGGAGGUGGCUAAGAAGUAGCUCCCAGCUAAAGUCAGAGGGAAAGCCAUUUCCUUCUUUUUGGAGUGUUUGAAUAUGAAGACAAGACAAUAAUUGGUGUUAGGAGUUUGGGACCAGACAGCUCGGGAUUAAAUCUCACCAUUUCAAGUGAGAAACAAGUAUAAAAGCUGCUUUGGGAAGUAAAGAAAGCAAAGAAUAAAGACAAAGAAACAAGAUGGCAGUGGUGGAGAGAUGGGAAAAGAGAGAAGGUCACAGUGGUGGAGAGAGGGAACAGAGACUUUUCUGCUUGAGAAGGGCAGAAGAUGGCAACUGAUAUGCAGCUGAUGACAUGCAGGGGCAACUGGCUCUGGAAAUAUCAAGUCCUAUGGCAUCCCACUCCUUCAGAAUGGCGCUUGAUUUAAAAACAAACCAGACCAGAGCAUACACCACAAGGAAACAUGAUACAUAUGGUCAAAUAAUUGCA